AUGCAUGGAGUUGCACCUAUUGCACUGGCACCCGAAGUUGCAAAACUGGCAUGGAAGAAGAAUCUCAAGGUCGUUGAUGCUCUGACAAACAAUCUUUGGAUGAAGGGGUUACAUAGGAUGAACAACGAAGAGCAAGUGCAGCAAUUUAUUUCCUUAUGGGAGAAGAUCCAGGAAGUGCAGUUGUCUCAUGACGAUGAUGGCAUCACGUGGAUUCUUAACUCCAAAGGAAUUUACACGGCUAAAGAUGCCUAUGAAGCCCAAUUCUUGGGACGAAUUAGGCAGCCACUCCUAGAGAAAGCAUGGAAAGUGAAGGCUGAAAACAAGAUUAAAUUCUACCUUUGGUUACUGGUCUAG
rnacentral:rRNA from 1 species